GGUUCUGGUGAGACACUCUUCUAGGUUGCAGACUGCCAACUUCUCAUUAGUCACUGACUUCAAGUUUUCGUUUAAGACCCUUGUGCCAGCUAAAAGUCAGCAACAAUAAAAAAAUGUCAAAGGCAAAGACACAGGGACCAUGGAAGCUUUUGGCUUCCAGAACAUUCUCAAAGGAUCCUCCCUCCUGAGGUCUAGCUGGAGAAAGAUCUGUGAUGCUAUAGUCAUUUGGUGCUGAGCUGAUAGGGUCCUGCAACAGCUGGAAGACAUAGCCAAAUUAUUUCCAUUUGUAUGAAAAUGUAAUGCAUCCAUGAGGAGAACUAAGUCCCAAAUGUAUAGCAUUUUACCUAAUGUUAUAGACUGUAUGCCACAUGGUAAGAGGAGAUUUAUAAACCACCCAGAAAAUAA
rnacentral:lncRNA from 1 species